rnacentral:rRNA from 1 species
GAUGAACGCUAGCUACAGGCUUAACACGUGCAAGUCGAGGGGCAGCAUGGAAGAGGCUUGCUUCUUCUGAUGGCGACCGGCGCACGGGUGCGUAACGCGUAUCAAACCUGCCUCAUACUCGGGGAUAGCCUUGCGAAAGUAAGAUUAAUACCCGAUGUUGUUAUGUUUCCGCAUGGUGAUGUAACCAAAGAUUUAUCGGUAUGAGAUGGUGAUGCGUCCGAUUAGGUAGUAGGCGGGGUAACGGCCCACCUAGCCAUCGAUCGGUAGGGGUUCUGAGAGGAAGGUCCCCCACACUGGAACUGAGACACGGUCCAGACUCCUACGGGAGGCAGCAGUGAGGAAUAUUGGUCAAUGGACGAAAGUCUGAACCAGCCAAGUAGCGUGCAGGAUGACGGCCCUCCGGGUUGUAAACUGCUUUUAGUUGGGAAUAAAAAAGAGGACGUGUCCUCUAUUGUAUGUACCUUCAGAAAAAGGACCGGCUAAUUCCGUGCCAGCAGCCGCGGUAAUACGGAAGGUCCAGGCGUUAUCCGGAUUUAUUGGGUUUAAAGGGAGCGUAGGCGGAUUAUUAAGUCAGUGGUGAAAGACGGUGGCUCAACCAUCGUUAGCCAUUGAAACUGGUAGUCUUGAGUGCAGACAGGGAUGCUGGAACUCGUGGUGUAGCGGUGAAAUGCUUAGAUAUCACGAUGAACUCCGAUCGCGAAGGCAGGUGUCCGGGCUGCAACUGACGCUGAGGCUCGAAAGUGUGGGUAUCAAACAGG